CACAAAGUUCGUCGAGAGAAGCUUUUGUGGAAAUAUGUUGAGUGCCCGCAACAACAAGGAGGCACGGAGUGCGGUUAUUUUGUGAUGCGGUACAUUUUUGACGUACUCGCUUCAUAUUUUGGUUCGUUGGAUAUGGACAAAGUUGCUCAAACCUUUACCAAAGAUCCUUAUACGGAGGAUCAAAUCAAUGAGGUGAAGAAUAAGUGGGCAAGAUACUUUGUUGAUGAGUGCAUUGCAUAGGUUAGUUAGUUUAUGUUAAUAUCCUUCUUUUCGUUCUAGCUAACUUUAGACGAACAUAUAACAAUUUUAGUAGUGCUAACUUUAGACCAACUUGUACAACCAACUUUGUAGUGAUGGAUUAUCAUGAUAUAUAAAUAUUUUUGUUGGAUUAUUAUGGAAUUGUAUUUAUGUUGGUUGGGUUGAAUAUGAUGUUGGUU